GAUGAAGAACGUAGCGAAAUGCGAUACUUGGUGUGAAUUGCAGAAUCCCGUGAACCAUCGAGUCUUUGAACGCAAGUUGCGCCCGAAGCCAUUAGGCCGAGGGCACGCCUGCCUGGGCGUCACACGUCGUUGCCCCCCCAUCUACUCCUUCGGGAUUGCGGGGGGCGGAUGAUGGCCUCUCGUGCGCCUCGUCGCGCGGUUGGCCUAAAUGCCAAGUCCUCGGCGACGCACGCCACGACAAUCGGUGGUUGCGAAACCUCGGUUGACUGUCGUGUGCGGUCGUCGCGCAUCGAGGGCUCGAAAAAAUUGCCGGGCUUCGGCUCGACUUUCAACGCGACCCCAGGUCAGGCGGGGUUACCCGCUGAAUUUAAGCAUAUCAAUAAGCGGAGGA
rnacentral:misc_RNA from 1 species